UUAUUUAACACCUUCUUAUCCGCCUGGCCCCUGUCUGCUCGGUUUUGGGUUGGGGUGACCGCGGAGCAUAAAAUAGCCUCCACGAAAGAAGGGAUGAUUCCCUCAUUUUAGAACUACACUUCCAAAGACUAACAAAUUAAUUUUAAGUGAUCCGAUACCCGUAUUCGAUCAACGAACCAAGUUACCCUGGGGAUAACAGCGCAAUCUACCUCAAGAGCCCCUAUCGACAGGUGGGUUUACGACCUCGAUGUUGGAUCAGGGUAUCCCAGUGGUGCAGCAGCUACCAAAGGUUCGUUUGUUCAACGAUUAAAACCCU
rnacentral:rRNA from 1 species